GCUUUAGUAGCUUAACAUUUUAAAGCAUCGGUCUUGUAAACAGAAGACUGAAAUCUAACCACUUCCUAAGGCU
rnacentral:tRNA from 1 species